rnacentral:misc_RNA from 1 species
AGUUAAAAGAUUUUGCUGGGUAAUAUUCUUUUCUUAAUUUAAAUUCUACUGAUCAUUUACUGAAUAUUUGUUGGGUUACUCUUUAGCUUCACUGUGUGUUGUCACAUUCGUAGAUAUGCUCUUAAAAUUUUGGACUAUUAGCGUCUUUAGGGGUGUACACUGUUUCAAUUUUGGAGAAUCAAGAGCCUAUAAACUACCCUGCUUGGAAUUUUUUUUUUUUGUUUGAUCAAGCAAACGGGAUGCUUAAUCAUGUAAAAGUUUUAUGAAGCAUGUGUGACUAGGGUUAAUGGCUUCAGAAGGAAAUCAUUAACUGCGUUGGCAUAUCAAACCUUUCUAUUUGAAAUAUUUUUUCUUUCAUGUUAUGUUUACUUUUGCCGAUUGAAGCACACUUUUUUUAUGAUAUUUCCUUUCAAUGUUAAUGAAACCUUUCCAUUCAUUUCUUGCAUCAUCAAUAAAUUUAGAUGCAUUAACUGAAAAAAGUUAUCAAAUUUACAGUUCUGUUGCUAAUGGAGCUCUGA